AAUGGGCGCAAGCCUGAUCCAGCCAUGCCGCGUGAAGGAUGAAGGCCCUAUGGGUCGUAAACUUCUUUUAUACGGGACAAAACCCCCCGACGUGUCGGGGGUUGAUGGUACUGUAAGAAUAAGGGUCGGCUAACUUCGUGCCAGCAGCCGCGGUAAUACGAAGGACCCAAGCGUUAUCCGGAUUUAUUGGGUUUAAAGGGUGCGUAGGCGGAUUAGUAAGUCAGUGGUGAAAGCCCAUCGCUCAACGGUGGAACUGCCAUUGAUACUGCUAGUCUUGAGUAUGGUUGAGGUGGGCGGAAUGUGUCAUGUAGCGGUGAAAUGCUUAGAUAUGACACAGAACACCAAUUGCGAAGGCAGCUCGCUAAGCCAUAACUGACGCUGAGGCACGAAAGCGUGGGGAGCAAA
rnacentral:rRNA from 1 species